rnacentral:rRNA from 1 species
UACGUAGGGCGCGAGCGUUGUCCGGAAUUAUUGGGCGUAAAGAGCUCGUAGGCGGCCUGUUGCGUCUGCUGUGAAAUCCCGGGGCUUAACCCCGGGCGUGCAGUGGAUACGGGCAGGCUGGAGGCAGGCAGGGGAGAACGGAAUUCCCGGUGUAGCGGUGAAAUGCGCAGAUAUCGGGAGGAACACCGGUGGCGAAGGCGGGUCUCUGGGCCGAUACUGACGCUGAGGAGCGAAAGCGUGGGGAGCGAACAGG